rnacentral:misc_RNA from 1 species
AAACCUAUGGACCCGAAUGGGUUCCGUGUUGGGCCUCGCCUCUCCGAGCGGCGUCGCCUCAAAGGCAUCGGCUUCACAGAGCGGACGGGAUCCUUAUGGACUGACCGUUUCGUGGCCGGAGUUUGACUCUG